AUUUAAAUUUCAACUUAAAUUGUUUUCAAGUAUUUUGAAAUAGGAAUGAAGUUUGUCUGUUAGUUUUUGUUUGAUUAUUUCCAUUUCUGAAUUAUUCAGUGUUGUCCACGUACUAGUUGUCAUAAACAGACUUUCGAUCUCUUUAUGAUGGCAGUACAGCAGAUCACUUAAGGAUUGCUAAGACAUGAAUUAACGUUUCUAACACUUGACAAAGUUACAACAUCCUACGUUGAAAAUGGACUAGACGAUACUGAUAAUAAUAAUGGUUUUAUGCAAAGUACGAGUAAUGGAUUGCAGUGCAACAGAUCACUC